rnacentral:lncRNA from 1 species
GCUCCGUGGCCAGGUUCAUUUUACCUUUUCUGCUCUGCUGUCCUUCAAGCAGAAAGGCUGAGCAUCUAAGAAUUAUAUCAGCAUUCCAGGACAGGAAGAAAGACAUAGAAGAAAGGAUAAAUGGCUGUAUCAGGACUUUGGAGCAUCCCCAGAAAUCCCAGUAAAGGAGACCUGCAUUACAGAUGAUCUUCCCAAGCAAGAUGCUCCAAAGGAGGUAACGCCACACGCUGCGCUAUAUCUUCUACACCAGAACUCUGCCCGGGACCCUCAAGCUUGAAAUUGAAGAGCUAAUUUCCCUUGACCAAUAAAGCAAACACUUGAUGUGAUGGCGUCUAGUUUCCUGAAGGUCUGAGAGAUGGCUGGGGAGACUGGAAUCUAAGUGGUGAUUUAUCCCCACAUUUAUCUCAAGAUGCGUAGGUUCCCUCAGCCACGGAGC